ensembl:lncRNA
CUCCUCAGCACCACCCAGCUACAAGAUUCUAGCAUCCAAGAGGCUGGUGGAGGGGGCUUCUCUGCAUGGGGAGCACACACCCUCCACGCUGGUGGGCGUGGCUGUGCAGAGCCACCCGUGGCUGAGCCUGGGGAUAGUCUGUUCCUGCCUGGUUUUGCUUUCCUAUUUAAUAAUGUAAGAAGGCAUCUUUAACCCUGCUUUGCUUAUGAAUGGAUUGAAAGUGGCUUCCCUGCUCUCUCCUCCCUUUUUAUACACUAUAAACUCAUAAAGGUGCUUAAACACCGACUCUUGUGCAGAUAAUGUAUUUAAGCAGUUGCAUGGAUUCAUGGAUUCAGAUAGCGCAGGCAUAGCUGACCUUGGGACCCUUGUGAAAGUGAAGGACGGAAGGCUCCGUGCUCCGUUUGGAAGGAGCAGUGGACUCUGCUUGAGGAGAAGUUCCCUCUAGUCUUGGCAGUGCAGGUCUAACUUAACAGAUUUGUCAUGGGGACCCACCGCCUCUGACCAGCUGUCCUGUGGUUGUCCACUUUGCUGUCCAGAAGGUCAUCCUUUUACACCAUGGUUCCACCUGUAUCCCCUCGGGCUCCCUCCUCCUAAAGUUUCCUUGGGAAGUCAGCAUACGAUCCUAGAUCCCUCCAUUAGUUGGGUUAGGGAAGCCUGAGGGGCAGAUGGACCGUGUCAUGAGGCAGGUGCCUGGGUACUGGCUGGGCAGGGCAGGGCACUCUUCUCUAGGUUAUCUCUGUGCCCUAACCCCCACCCCGUUGUAGUAUUGCGUGGGUGGGGGUUGACAUCUUCCAUUCUUUCGACUUGGACAGCUCAGUACCCCUAGAAUCCCUCACAUAUAUUUCUCUGUGUGGAGAACCGGAGGCAUGGAGGGUUACUUAGGACUCUGAUUUGGCUGGGAUUUGAAAAUCCCAGGAAGCAAAGGGUGCUACAUAUGUUAUGCUUAGGGUGACACCCAGGUGUGGUGGUGUAAGCCACAGCCUCAGGGCACCAGCACAGAGGCAGGCAGCCUCCCCACUCAAGAGGCUUGUGAAGGAUACCAAACCAGCAGGAGCCCUGGCCACUGCAGUGUUCAGCUAACACUUCUUUCUACUGGUGGAAGUGAGAACACUGAAACCUUCCAAAGGCCUGGCAGUUCUAGUUUCUCCAUUCCUGAGGGCUAAAAGGCUGAACGAGCUCCUGCUUUGCUUAGAGCUGCCUUUAUUUGAAUUCAUUUAGAGGUAAAGCAUCUUUAAGGACCGUAUCUCUUCCCUGUGCCACCAGCCAGUAGGUGGCGGAGGCCCUUUUCAUUCAGUUCUCCUGCAUCUUCAAGCUCUGGGACAUCAGUGAGGUCACAAGAGCACCCACAGCAGCCAUCAGCAGAGUGAGUACUCAAACGGGACAGAAAGCAGAAACUGUACAGGUUGUAAUGGCCACUCCAGGUUGUGACACAUCCUGCACAGCAGGUGGCCUCAGCCCGCCCUUCCUCUUGAAAGUCUGUUUUCGGUGUCCCUUCAGAAUCAUGCUGGGCUGGUUGUUAGGUGACCCUACCUAGAAGCUCCGCGAGCCCUCACUCUUUCUUGCAGACUGUGAUGCCACCUUGUAGCCUGCGGCUGUGGAAACACAGUCCUAUCCUGGGUUCUCUGUGCCCUGAAGUGCAGUUGCACCUCUGCUGGGGUUUGGUCAGGCACUGGCAAAGGCUACUUGCUGGCCUUGUGUUUGCUGCCCCUCAGCGAGACCGUGUGUUCUAGUGGAAGUAGACUUAGAGGGAAUUGGAAUCAUGUCUUUGUGAAUCGAGUGUGAAGUCCUCGGGCCUAAGGUGCUACUUGGUCCUAAUGUUUUGGAGUGCUUUUCUGUUGUUGUUACUCCAUUGUUACUUACUCUGUCCUAUGACACUGGGGGAGACUGCUCGCUUGGGUGUGGUGUCGCUUACACCGAAAACAUAGGACUCCAGCUUUGACGUGCCCAUGGUGUGACUUUCAUCUCUGACCUUCUCAAGUCAGGGAUGGUGCCUAGUCUAAUAAAAUCCUUCCUCCCUGUCAAGCCAUUGCUUUGGUUGGUUUCAACAGGGGAAGUAGUCCAGUCUGGUUUUUCUGUUUUUUUUUUUUUUUUUUAAUUGCAUAGAAAAGGCCGUUGCCUGUGCAGACUGCAGACGGAUAACACAUUUAGCAAAUUUGGUUCCUCUUCAAAGCCAAAUAGACCUAUGUGAUUAAACUCCAAGAGGGUACAAUUCAGCAUUAAAUUAAAAUCUGAGUCAUGAGUUUGAGAGAGGGAAUUUCAGUAUAGUUGAUAACGUUAUGAAUUCAUGUUUUAUAAUUGUAGAGGCAAGUGAGUAUUUAAAAAAAUGUAAGAGAAUAAUUGUAAGUUUCUGUGCAACAAUUCAGCUACUGCCUCAUAAAUACAGGAAGAGACCAUAGCCCCGAAUCUCGACCCUCUUACCUCCCGUUCCACUUCAGAUUGCCUGCCUAAUAUGUAUUUUGAGGGGUUUUAACCCUUGGUUUUAUCAAAUUUUCUAGUUUUAUUUUAUUUUUAUAAAAUAAUUGAGAAAGAACCAAAAAUGAAUUCAGAAGUUCCCCAGUGGCUCCUACCCCAGUCUUAAUUUCCUCCCACACUCAAACGUUUCAGAAGACAUUUUGAACCAAAAUGUAUUCCAUCCAUUUACCAUUUGCUACUUUCUGAGAAGUGGAGCGGCUACCAAGGCCUGUUUCAGGUGGUACUCUGUAUGUCAUGGACCUGUCUGUACCUGUGCAGUGGAUCUGUGUGAUGACGUCUUGUGCUUGCGGUUUAGAAACCACACAGUGCUGUGUUGUAAAUUGACAGUUUCUGUGUAAACUAUUAUUUAUAACCCUUGGCCCAUCUGUAUAAUUUUUCAUUUGCUACAUGGAUUGUAUAAUUAAUUAUAAAAUUAUAGUAUCUGCUAAACCCAAUUCUGAGGCUUCAUGUCAUUGUCUUUGGUUUGAUACCAGUCUGAGUCGUGAGGAUGCGCAGGCCUUGCACAAUACCAGUAGUGAUGUCGCCUGAAACUAAGCCUUAAUCAGAUAGUGAAUUUGUGCAUUUCAGAGUAUGCAAAAAACAAACAAACAAACAAAACAGAGUUUCAACUGUCAAGAUGCUCAACCCUAACUCUAACGUGUUCCCUCCGGAGUGAAGAGUGGGGAGUGAAGAGUGGAGUGAAAAGGGGCCGUUACCAGGGUUAUUUACUCUCCCUCUCGCCUGAGCUCUCCCAGGUGGCUUGAUGAAACCAAUCCUGUGCGUUUCUGUGGCAGUCUAUCUGGAGACCUUUGCAGGCUUAUCUUCAAAUGUCUGAUUCCUCUCUGCUCUGAGAUGAGCCUCGACUGCUGCGAGCACAGUUGGGGCAUAGCUUUCGCCACCCUGCUCAUCGGCCAAGCUCUCUGCAGUUACUGCCAGCUGCCAUUGCUUCUGCAUAGAUUACAACAGAGUUGUGUUUGGGUAAAAGCAUCUUCAAUCUUGAGGUAAAAUAGAGGGGACCCAGCUUUCUUUACAAUGUGGAUCUACCUCAGUUAAAUAGUUGGGUGCUAUUAAGUAAGUCUGUCAAAUUAAAUUGGAAAAAGUAACCAAACAGUGGGACAUAACUAACUCCACAUGAAACUUGAAAACAUCAUUUCCGUUUCUUUAAUAAUUUUUAUUUAUUUUGUGCCUUUUCUGUUAACCCUAAUGCAUUUUCAAGAUUCAGAAUAGUCAUUUUCUCUUGCAAAUGGGGAGCCCAACUGACCACACAAGUAUUCCAUCCAACUGCUACAGUGCGCUGGGAUCCUAACCUGCCCUCUCUGGGAACCGGGGAAAUGUGUCCUAGAGCAAAUGUCACAUCCCAGACCCCAGCUGGUUUGUGCAUGUAUUCACAGCUGUCACUUUAUUUCUGUGCCAUUUGAAGGGGCAACCCCGAAAACGGACCCCCAAGUACUUUGUGCUCUUUCAGCUGCCUGUGUCUCUCUUCUUUGGCAUGUUUUCUAUAAGACUUUCUUUCAUAAACAGCAAAUGGACUGUUGUCGAGCCCAUCUCCUGGUUUGCACGGUGAAGGUGCUUAACGCCAGGAGCAGAGGCGGGGGCAAGCUCGAGGCUGUCUGGAGGCCAGGCCAGAGGCGGGGAGGAUGCGUGUUCUGCGGCAGCCCGAGGUCUGACUGACCUCAUGGAUGUCCAUUGAGGAAGUAGCAUGACCCUAAAGACACUGGCAGCCUGGCCUGGAGGUGGCGGCCUUCGCAGCUUUCUCUCUCAGCACUCAGCCACACUGACCUGGUCGGGCAGUCUGCAUGGACAGGACAGCUCAGCUGGUGAAGAAAGCCGGAUGCUCAGACACUGCACGUCUCCUGUCCUGAUUAAGCUUAGCUGGGUCCUUUCUAGUCUGUUUUCACAGCUUCCUAGGUUAAAUAGUUUGCACUAUUUUUGCAAUAAAUCCAUGGGAAACCUAACAGCUACUUAUGUUGUUGUUCUUACUGUGUGUAUAAACUAACACUAAAGGUUUGGAAUAGUGUUUUUUUUUUUCCUCCCACCUCAUGUAGCCCCUUAACAUGCACAGAAUGCUGUAAAUCUGAUAUAUGAUGUGAAU